AUGAGAGUUUGAUCCUGGCUCAGGAUGAACGCGUGGCGAGCACUUAACACAUGCAAGUCGAACGGAUUACAGACGGAGUUUUCGGAUGGAAGGCUGUAAUUCUUAGUGGCGGACGGGUGAGUAACGCGUGGGCAACCUGCCCUGGUACAGGAUGGCGUGGAAACGGCUGGUAGACCGCAUAAGUCGGCGAGACGCAUGCGGUUUUGUCCGACGAAAUCAGCAACCGAUAUGAGAAUGGGCCUGCGCGUCGAUCAGCGGGUUGGCGGGGUAAACCACCGAAGCAGCGAUCGGUAGACACGAGAGGUCGGACGGCCACAUUGGGACUGAGAACGCCCAACUCUCGGGAGGCAGCGGUGGAUACUGCAAUCGAACUCAGAUGCGGCGACGCCGUGCGUGAAGAGUGACUGGUACACAGCUCUAUCAGCAGGGAGAUGAUGAUGGUACCUGACAGGCUGACUACGACUCAGCAGCCGCGUGUCGUGAGGGGCAAGCGUAUCGGAUUUACUGGGUGCCAGGGAGCGCAGGCGGUUUGCGUGGCAAGUUGAGCAGUGAGGCUCAACCUGGCUGCUCUCAAAACUGUCAAACGAGUAUGGAGAGGAGAUUCCUAAUGUGGUAGAAAUGCUUAGAUAUUAGGAAGAACACCCAGGUGGCGAAGGCCUGCUAGACAAACUGAGCAGCUGAAACCAGCGUCGGGUGCAAACAGGUUAGAUACCUGCUGGUCCACGUAACGAUGAAUGCUGACAAGCCUGUACGAUUGCCGCCUAGACGCCUGGCUAUUCCACCUGGGGAUGGAUUCGCAGAAUGAAACUCAAAGGAUGACAGUGGAUUGCAAGCGGUGGGCAGCAUGUGGUUUAAUUUGCACAACGCACAGGCUCACCCGGUCUUGAAUCCUCCACGAAUACGAUAGCUGUAGUCCUUCCGGGGACAGGAGAGACAGAGUGGUGCAUCGUGGCUCAUGUGUCGUGAGAUGUUGGGUUAGAGUCCCGCAACGAGCGCAACCCCGUCUUUCAUGUAGCCAACGGCUGACCCUCUGGGCCAGCACUGCCAGGGGAUAACUCGGAGGAAGGCGGGCGAUGGCGUCAAAUCAUCAGCCCCUUGCACCAGGGAGCUACCGUGCUACAAUGGCAGUUACAGAGGGGAAGCGAAGGCGCGAGCCGGGCAAAUCCCAGCUGCCUCAGUUCAGUUGUGGUCACAACUCGACACAGGAAGCUGGAAUCGCUGGCGAUCGCGAAUCAGAAUGUCGCGGUGAAUACGUUCGGUCUUGUACACACCGCCCGUCACACCAUGGGGUCGGAAAUGCCCGAGGUCAGUGGCUCAACCGCACGGGAGGGCGCGAGGCAGGUCUGUGACUGGGGAGAAUCGAUCAAGGCCAGCGGCGUAUCGGAAGGUGCGGCUGGAUCACCCUCUU
rnacentral:rRNA from 1 species